CGGGUCUCUGUUCUUACCACCUUGAAAACUGUUGGAACAAGGUUGUCAAGGUGGGGUUCUGUUUGGUUGGCCAGAAAAUCGACGGGAAAGUGAGGCGGAUGUUGAACUGGGAUUCUGGGACUUUGCUUUGAAGAAAACACGUUCAAAGGAUAGGUUGAACCGACGUGGAAUGGAUAUUUAUUCGGGCGGAGAGAAACCCAGCUUUUCAAUACAACAUACAUCCGGCAACACAAGUGAACGUGAAAGCGCAUAAUUUUGAUUUAUUUCUCUUCAUCUUCAUUCAACUCUUAGAUUGUUUAAUGCUGGAGAAGAGAUAAAUGUCAAAGCUUUUUUCAAACUUGCUGGGUUUUCCAGCGGCCGUCGUUUGGCUAGUGUGGACAAAGCAGGGAACCGCUACUUCACCGGAACUGGGGAGCUUGAUUGAAUCAGUAAGAGUGUCUCGCUUCUUUUUUUUUUUUUUUAAUUUUAUUGUGCCAUUCAUGAAUUGUUAUUUGAUAUUUGUUUAUAUUUGGCAACUGGGUUCUUGUUUUCUGCUGAAAAAAUGCAUGGAAAUUCAAUAAAGUUGUAUAGUUGUUUGGUUAGCUGAGGUAUAUAUGUUGAUCAUUUGUUAAAGUGCAA